rnacentral:rRNA from 1 species
UACAGAGGGGGCAAGCGUUGUUCGGAAUUACUGGGCGUAAAGGGCGCGUAGGCGGCCUUCUAAGUCGAACGUGAAAUCCCUGGGCUCAACCCAGGAACUGCGUCCGAUACUGGAAGGCUUGAAUCCGGGGGAGGGAUGCGGAAUUCCAGGUGUAGCGGUGAAAUGCGUAGAUAUCUGGAGGAACACCGGUGGCGAAGGCGGCAUCCUGGACCGGUAUUGACGCUGAGGCGCGAAAGCCAGGGGAGCAAACGGG